CGUCGCCGCGGGAAUACGGAGGGUGCAAGCGUUAAUCGGAAUUACUGGGCGUAAAGCGCACGCAGGCGGUCUGUCAAGUCAGAUGUGAAAUCCCCGGGCUUAACCUGGGAACUGCAUUUGAAACUGGCAGGCUAGAGUCUUGUAGAGGGGGGUAGAAUUCCAGGUGUAGCGGUGAAAUGCGUAGAGAUCUGGAGGAAUACCGGUGGCGAAGGCGGCCCCCUGGACAAAGACUGACGCUCAGGUGCGAAAGCGUGGGGAGCAAACAGGAUUAGAUACCCGAGUAGUCCCUGUCUCUUAUACA
rnacentral:rRNA from 1 species